rnacentral:rRNA from 1 species
UACGAAGGUGUCAAACGUUGUCCGGAAUAACUGGGCGUAAAGGGCGCGUAGGCGGUCGCGUAAGUCAGAUGUGAAAGCUCUGGGCUCAACCCAGGAAUUGCAUUUGAUACUGCGUGACUAGAGUUCGGUAGAGGAGGGCGGAAUUCCAGGUGUAGCGGUGAAAUGCGUAGAUAUCUGGAGGAACACCCGUGGCGAAGGCGGCUCUCUGGUCCGAUACUGACGCUGAGGCGCGAAAGCUAGGGUAGCAAACAGG